rnacentral:rRNA from 1 species
UACGUAGGGUGCAAGCGUUGUCCGGAAUUAUUGGGCGUAAAGAGCUCGUAGGUGGCCUGUCGCGUCGGCUGUGAAAACUCACAGCUCAACUGUGGGCGUGCGGGCGAUACGGGGCAGACUAGAGUACUGCAGGGGAGACUGGAAUUCCUGGUGUAGCGGUGGAAUGCGCAGAUAUCAGGAGGAACACCGGUGGCGAAGGCGGGUCUCUGGGCAGUAACUGACGCUGAGGAGCGAAAGCGUGGGGGAGCGAACAGG